UACAGAGGGUGCAAACGUUGCUCGGAAUUAUUGGGCGUAAAGCGCAUGUAGGCGGCACGAUAAGUUCACUGUGAAAGCCCUUGGCUCAACUGGGGAGGGUCACGCGAUACUGAUCGACUCGAAGGCAGGAGAGGGUAGUGGAAUUCCCGGUGUAGUGGUGAAAUGCGUAGAUAUCGGGAGGAACACCAGUGGCGAAGGCGACUACCUGGCCUGUUCUUGACGCUGAGGCGCGAAAGCUAGGGGAGCAAACGGG
rnacentral:rRNA from 1 species